GUUCUCUUUGUCUUUAGGAGAAAUCGAUACAAGAUUCUCAUUUUGUGCAGUGGCAACUUUGGCUCUCUUGGGCAAACUUGAUGCUAUUAAUGUGGAAAAGGCCAUUGAAUUUGUUUUGUCCUGUAUGAACUUUGAUGGUGGAUUUGGGUGCAGACCAGGCUCUGAAUCUCACGCCGGACAGGUAAUUCUGCAGUUAAAAUCUAUAGGGGUUUUGUGUUGGGAGUUUUCUGUAUAUGCCAUGCCAGUCUACACAAUUUCGUCCUCAUAAGUAGACCUCACCAGUGUUCCUUACUGGCAUUUGUCUGUUUAUGUGGGGUCCACAUUCUGUGCUGUUAACUGACUUGAGGUUUGCUACAUAGUCCAGGCUGUCACACGUUGGGAAUGGAGGCACAAGCUUGACUUGAUUCAUUCAAAUGAACUAACCCCAGUAUGUCCAUCUGAGCACGUUUCUGCUUGUGCCAGAGAAUACUGUAUGUAAACACGCAAGUGUAGCAUCUCAUUGUGGUAUUGAAACUAGUGGCACAGCCUGGGGUAGGAAGAUGGAGCUUUGGUGAUUUUGGUAGUGUCUGCCAUUUACUAUUAAACUAUACCUGCGUACUUUAUGUCUGUAAUUUUAGAUCUAUUGUUGCACAGGAUUCCUGGCCAUAACUAGUCAGUUGCAUCAAGUGAACUCCGACCUACUUGGUUGGUGGCUUUGUGAACGACAGUUGCCCUCUGGCGGACUCAAUGGAAGACCCGAGAAGUUACCAGAUGUGUGCUAUUCCUGGUGGGUGUUGGCCUCCUUAAAGAUAAUCGGGAGACUUCAUUGGAUUGACAGAGAAAAGCUUCGAAGCUUCAUCUUGGCAUGUCAAGAUGAAGAGACAGGAGGGUUUGCAGACAGGCCAGGAGACAUGGUGGAUCCCUUUCACACCUUGUUUGGCAUUGCUGGAUUGUCACUUCUGGGGGAAGAGCAGAUCAAGCCUGUCAGCCCUGUCUUUUGCAUGCCUGAAGACGUGCUGCAGAGGGUGAAUGUCCAGCCUGAACUAGUGAGCUAGUCCGAGGGGAAGAGCCUUCGGUGUGCAGUAUCAGUUACUGUGGUUAUCAAACCCAGAAGUGACUUAAUAUUUUGUAUAUCAUAUGUCAAUGAUAAAAUUAUAUAAGUAUUGUAAAAUAAAUGUCGUAUUUAGAUCUUUAGUGUUCUGAGUACAGUUUCUGUCAAUACUGUUUGUUAAUGUCUAACAGCAACAAACUUAAAAAGCUAGUAUUUAACUGCCACCUCCCUGUGUCCUUUUGACCUGUAACAAUGACGGGAAAUGAUUUCUGUUAAUAAAGAUGAUCAAAGUGAGUGAAACUCAUGAUUU
rnacentral:lncRNA from 1 species